CACCGAUGACGUCAUAGACACUAUCAAUGCAAGUUUUCUAACGGCGCGAUUCAUUUUUUAAAACUUACAUCUCGAAGAUUGUGUGUUGUUUGUUCACCAUCACCGUGUUCAUAGGUUGUUUCAUGAUUGUUGUUUGUUCCGCGAGGAAUUGGAUUAGCAUACCGUUGUCGAUAUAAUGGCAAACAUGCGAGCUGUCUACUUAUUCGCUUGGUGUCUCGUGUACGCAGUGUGCAUAAGCCAAGUGUAUUCGAGCUCAAUAAUAUGUGAGCAUUCUUCGAUGUAUCUAUCAUGCCCAGAGGAUCAGGUCCUUGAAAUUGGUACAGCCAUAUACGGUCGUACACGUAAAGACAUCUGCCCUCAUCGCGAUAACAAGCGGACAGACUGUAAAUCGAAAACCUCCACUGAAACCGUGAAAAAACUGUGCCAAGGGAAGCAGUUGUGCCACCUCAUUGCCAAAAAUAACAUAUUGGGCAACCCGUGUGGUGAUACUCAUAAAUAUCUGGAGGUUACAUACGAGUGCAUCUGGUGACACUGCGUGUUGUUACGGAUUUGUAUGUGUUUCAAAGCCCUCUGUAUAUACUGUUAAGUACUUUUGAGUUUUGACGGAAACUUAUGUUAGAAACAGUAAACAGCAUUUUGCGUAUUUGACUAUU